GGGUAGGUGGCCGAGUGGUUAAAGGCGUCAGACUGUAAAUCUGAUCACGUAAGUGUACGCUGGUUCGAAUCCAGCCCUGCCCACCA
rnacentral:tRNA from 1 species